AACGAACGCUGGCGGCAUGCCUAACACAUGCAAGUCGAACGAACCCUUCGGGGUUAGUGGCGCACGGGUGCGUAACACGUGGGAAUCUGCCCUUUGCUUCGGAAUAACAGUUAGAAAUGACUGCUAAUACCGGAUAAUGUCGCAAGACCAAAGAUUUAUCGGCAAAGGAUGAGCCCGCGUAGGAUUAGCUUGUUGGUGGGGUAAUGGCCCACCAAGGCGACGAUCCUUAGCUGGUCUGAGAGGAUGAUCAGCCACACUGGGACUGAGACACGGCCCAGACUCCUACGGGAGGCAGCAGUGGGGAAUAUUGGACAAUGGGCGAAAGCCUGAUCCAGCAAUGCCGCGUGAGUGAUGAAGGCCUUAGGGUUGUAAAGCUCUUUUACCAGGGAUGAUAAUGACGGUACCUGGAGAAUAAGCUCCGGCUAACUCCGUGCCAGCCGCCGCCGUAAGAC
rnacentral:rRNA from 1 species